AGAGUCCGAUCAUGGCUCAGGAUGAACGCUGGCGGCGUGCUUAACACAUGCAAGUCGAGCGAGAAGUUUUAAGUGGAUUCUUCGGAUGAAAGUUGAAAUGGAAAGCGGCGGACGGGUGAGUAACGCGUGGGUAACCUACCCCAUACAAAGGGAUAGCCACUGGAAACGGUGAUUAAUACCAUAUAAAACUCUAAUGCCGCAUGGCAAAUGAGUCAAAAUGUUAGUGGUAUGGGAUGGACCCGCGUCUGAUUAGCUAGUUGGUGAGGUAAAGGCUCACCAAGGCGACGAUCAGUAGCCGGCCUGAGAGGGUGAACGGCCACACUGGAACUGAGACACGGUCCAGACUCCUACGGGAGGCAGCAGUGGGGAAUAUUGCACAAUGGGGGGGAACCCUGAUGCAGCAACGCCGCCGUGGAGCCGAUGAAAGGCCUUCCGGGUCGUAAAGCUCUGUCCUAAAGGAAGAAACCCAAUGACGGUUCCUUUUAGGAGGAAAGCCCCCGGCUUAACUACGUGCCAGCCAGCCCGGCGGUAAUACGUUAGGGGGCCAAGGCGUUUAUCCCGGAAAUCCCUGGGCCGUAAAAGGGUGCCUAAGGCGGGUUUAUCAAGCCCAGGAAGUGGGAAGGCCA
rnacentral:rRNA from 1 species